GGGUGCGAUCGUACCAGCACUAAAGCACCGAUCCAUCAGAACUCUGCAGUUAAGCGUGCUUGGGUGAGAGUAGUACUGGCUUGGGUGACCCGCUGGGAAGUCCUCGUGGUGCACCCCUUU
rnacentral:rRNA from 1 species